rnacentral:rRNA from 1 species
UAAUCCGGGUUGCGGACAGUGUCUGGUGGGUAGUUUGACUGGGGCGGUCUCCUCCUAAAGAGUAACGGAGGAGCACGAAGGUUGGCUAAUCCUGGUCGGACAUCAGGAGGUUAGUGCAAUGGCAUAAGCCAGCUUGACUGCGAGCGUGACGGCGCGAGCAGGUGCGAAAGCAGGUCAUAGUGAUCCGGUGGUUCUGAAUGGAAGGGCCAUCGCUCAACGGAUAAAAGGUACUCCGGGGAUAACAGGCUGAUACCGCCCAAGAGUUCAUAUCGACGGCGGUGUUUGGCACCUCGAUGUCGGCUCAUCACAUCCUGGGGCUGAAGUAGGUCCCAAGGGUAUGGCUGUUCGCCAUUUAAAGUGGUACGCGAGCUGGGUUUAGAACGUCGUGAGACAGUUCGGUCCCUAUCUGCCGUGGGCGCUGGAGAACUGAGGGGGGCUGCUCCUAGUACGAGAGGACCGGAGUGGACGCAUCACUGGUGUUCGGGUUGUCAUGCCAAUGGCACUGCCCGGUAGCUAAAUGCGGAAGAGAUAAGUGCUGAAAGCAUCUAAGCACGAAACUUGCCCCGAGAUGAGUUCUCCCUGAGACUUUAAGUCUCCUGAAGGAACGUUGAAGACGACGACGUUGAUAGGCCGGGUGUGUAAGCG